UACGGAAGGUCCAGGCGUUAUCCGGAUUUAUUGGGUUUAAAGGGAGUGUAGGCGGUUGGUUAAGCGUGUUGUGAAAUGUAGAUGCUCAACAUCUGACUUGCAGCGCGAACUGGCUGACUUGAGUACACACAACGUAGGCGGAAUUCAUGGUGUAGCGGUGAAAUGCUUAGAUAUCAUGAAGAACUCCGAUUGCGAAGGCAGCUUACGGGAGUGCUACUGACGCUUAAGCUCGAAGGUGCGGGUAUCGAACAGG
rnacentral:rRNA from 1 species